GACGAACGCUGGCGGCGUGCUUAACACAUGCAAGUCGAACGGAAAGGCCCUGCUUUUGUGGGGUGCUCGAGUGGCGAACGGGUGAGUAACACGUGAGUAACCUGCCCUUGACUUUGGGAUAACUUCAGGAAACUGGGGCUAAUACCGGAUAGGAGCUCCUGCUGCACGGUGGGGGUUGGAAAGUUUCGGCGGUUGGGGAUGGACUCGCGGCUUAUCAGCUUGUUGGUGGGGUAGUGGCUUACCAAGGCUUUGACGGGUAGCCGGCCUGAGAGGGUGACCGGCGACAUUGGGACUGAGAUACGGCCCAGACUCCUACGGGAGGCAGCAGUGGGGAAUAUUGCACAAUGGGCGGAAGCCUGAUGCAGCAACGCCGCGUGCGGGAUGACGGCCUUCGGGUUGUAAACCGCUUUCGCCUGUGACGAAGCGUGAGUGACGGUAAUGGGUAAAGAAGCACCGGCUAACUACGUG
rnacentral:rRNA from 1 species